rnacentral:misc_RNA from 1 species
UAAGUAUUUGGAGGCAGGAUGUGCGGGCACCGGUCGGCCUAUGGAACCACCGUUGUGUGCUCCGUGCAUUACGUCGAAGGCAAAUACGCCCCCUAAUCGGUGUGGUCUUGCAGCACCGGUGGGCUUGAUAAUCUCAAGCUCUAGACGACGGUUCACCUAACGCUUUCACCUAAAACGUGAAAGCGUUAGGUGAAAGCGUCGGCAUUAAGUUGGUUGCGUCUGCUGGCUCCAACCCGGGAGUAGAUUAUCUUUUUUGAUAAUCUCAAGCCCGCGAUGACGGUUUUCAGUGAUUAUCUUCCUGGAUCGUUGUCAAUCGGGCUUGAUAAUCUCAAGCUCGUGAUGGGUACCGUCGCUUGUGGGUUCCGUUGCUGCCUGAUCUUGCUUAUAUAUAUGUGCGAGUCCGGACUUGUUUCUCAUGCCUCGUUAGUGAUUUGAAUCCAUCGCUUUGUAAACGUGACGAUUUGUUGCUUGCGUCUGCUGGCUUGACUCGUUCGUAUGCGGUUGCUAAGGUGAAGGGACUCGUUUCUUUAGGUGACUUGAUCCGACGAUGAUGUUACCGUGCGUUGAUUGAGCUUUGCUUUGGAUCAAAUGGCAUAGCUACGGAGUCGUUUGGUCUUUGUUGCGCGAGCAACAUGAGCGACCGGUUCCUUCUAAAUGGAUAUAUAUAAGCAAGCGAUGAUGCAACAGAACCCACAAGCGACGGCUUACCCCAUGGACCCUUCCUGAUGACCCUUCCUGAUGACGGUUUAUAUUCCUGAUUUUCCCAUCGUUCGGGGCAUUCUGGGGCUGUUUUGGCUUUUGGUUGCUUGUUUGGUCUUGAGCCGAACGGGUGGCUUCUAGUCUGGCGGCUUCGGGGAUGUUGACCGUAAAGGUGGAUGAGUGGUGUUUGGUUUGUUACGUGUGGUUGGCUGCGGCGUUUGCAACAACUUCCAUGCUUUCAGACCUCUUCAGUUGUGCGGCAAGGCUUGUAUCGCCUUGAGCGUAUUGUGGGUUUUCUGUGUUGGCUACCUAAUCAAUGGUAUCGGUUGGAUUGAUCAAAGUUAGAUUUUGUCUUUCGUCGCGUUUGCGGCGUGAGGUGAACCUUGAUGCGGUCUCUUUGAUCCAUCUCGUCGAAGCACAUGCUUUGACGUUGUGGCACAUUGAGCAUUGCUUGGUCUCUUGUAUACGGAACAUGUAGUGGGCAUGGAUCUAACGAUUCUUGUUUGCCCUCAUAUUAGCGUAACGCUUCUCUAACACGACUUGCACCAUGUUUUAGCUCGUACGGACGUGGUGCUAUU